ensembl:misc_RNA Metazoa_SRP Metazoan signal recognition particle RNA
UUUUGAAAUUCUGUAUCAUUUCAAUACUUUUUUGCUGUUUUGCUUUGGGAAAAAAAAAGAUUGACUAUGAGGGUCCUCUUCUGCCGGAGGUGUUAGUUUAACAGAAAGACUAAGUUCGGCAUCAAUAUGGUGACCUCCCGGGAGCGGGGGACCACCAGGUUGCCUAAGGAGGGGUGAACCGGCCCAGGUCGGAAACGGAGCAGGUCAAAACUCCCGUGCUGAUCAGUAGUGGGAUCGCGCCUGUGAAUAGCCGCUGCACUCCAGCCUGGGCAAUCUA